AUGGCAAUGGAGCUCCCACCAUACCUUCCGCAAUUUUUUACAUUGACAUAUUUAUUUGCCUAUUUGCUGCUCAUUUUUGCAAACUUGAAUUGCAUCGACGGGGUCAGCGAUGACGUGCCCAAAUGCCCGAAGAACAUGAGCGAUAUUCUGAAAGCAGAAAAAGUUGUGCCUGAUGUCAUUGAUAACGUGCCAAAACACCAUAUUGACAUUGAGUACAAUCAACACUGUUUUAUAAAUUUCGGAAAUAUGUUGAAGCCUGAGGAGGUUUAUUGGCGCACUUUUGCCAUUGAUUGGUUUUGCUAUCGAGAGCAGUAUUUCACAUUCAUGUUAGUUGGUAAGCGAAUUGUCUUCAAACACAACAUUCGUUACGUUGACACGAAGUUACCGAAAAAAAUAUAUUUUUAUAGGUAUUAAAAGGGUGUACACUUGACCUCUUUGCGGUCCAAAGCCCCAAGACGCUUCGUGCCUCAAGCGUCGUGCGUUACUUUUAUGAUUUGGACUGCAUUUUGCAAUUUGGACCUAUAAAUUCUGGCUCAUCUGAAAAAAACACUUUUGUGCAUAGAGAAACUAAUGGCACAUACGUUUUUUUUUAAACAAAUUGCAAAAUGCAGUCCAUUUUAUAAUACACGGUACCAUGUGUGCUUCCAUUGGGUAAACCACCAGAAAAAAAACUGACAGAAGUCACCUGAUUGAGAAGUGUUGGUAGCAGCAGCAUGUAUGGAAAAACAUGAGAAAUCCAAGGUCAUCAAUUCAUCAUGCCAUAGAAUUCUGAGAAAAACUUGAAAAAGUCGACAGUCAAUUUUUUGUUAAUUUCCUAAAAUCUCCGGGUCGAAAUCGUAUUUUGAAAAUUUAUCGGUUUAACAGUUUGUGACAAUUUUUCUCCCGAGAAAAUGAAAUAAAAAAUUACUUUAACCGUUAAAAAUCCCUGCAAGAUUGCAAUGAAUUGGACCUGCUUUCAGGGCCGGAUGAGCCAUCGCGGGAUGCACCUACCGAUCGGGAGUUUUUACACUGGUUGAUCGUAAAUAUUCCCAUCGAUGCUGUUAUUUGUGGCGAUGAAAGAGUGGAAUAUAUUCCACCGACCCCAAAAAAAAGACACUGGUGAGUGAAAUAAAAAAUAUAUUGAAAUUCGUGCUACUUUUUCAUGAGUAUAAGAUUUGUAGACUCACUGAUUAGCUUGGGUGAAAUUGUUUCUCAAGAAAAUUGUGCUAUUUCUGUAAUUUACGUCCAGGAAAAUUGAGAAAAAAAGAAAGAAAAAACGAGACACUAAAAGGAACAAAUAAAAUUUGAAACCCACGUUUCUUUUAAAAAUGUUACUAUUCCUUAUUCAUAUUUUUCAAAAUUUUUUGGAAUGUUUUUUUCAAAUUUUUCAAUAUGAAUGUUUCAUUUGUUUUUAAUAUUUCCGAUAUUUUGCAUUAUUAUAAAUCAACAGGACUUUUUGCAAAAAUUACCCGUGUAAUUAAUCCUUUUUUUAUUCAAUUACUUAACAGGUGUGCAUAGGUAUGUUUACGUCGUUUUACAACAGGCUCAGGAUAAGAUGAUAUUCGAUGAGCCUCAUCUCAAAAACACGUAAGUGACAGAAAUAAAUUGUCAAGUAGUUAUAUUUUCAUCUUUAGAGUCACCAAUAUACAUAAUUAUCAAGCAAACCCUGAAUAUGUUUGAAUCUUUUACGAGAGCUCUCUCUUUCCUGAUUUUCGAGGAAAAGUAUAUAAAUGUAUGGACGAGAAAUGAAUCAACUUAUGAGUAACCCUCCGCGUGUGUAGAGAUCAUAACUUACAAAUACUUAAAUUUGGAUUGUCGAUAUAAAAAAGUACAGGAGAGUUCUACUAAAAUUUCAAGUGAGAGACCCCCAAAAUAAGUUAAAUGAAACAGAAGUACUUACUCGCAAUUGUGGUUCCGCCAGUACCUACAUUAACAAACAAGCCCACCAAGAGUGCAUAAAUUCGACAUGAUAGAAGGAAAAAGGAGGCAAUCGUAACUAUAAAAACAUUGACAAAAUAGGUAUAUUGCUUCCCGCCGAAAAAAAUGGCGACCAUACCCAAUGGGUGUUACCCGAGCAACGCGGGCCUUAGUAUUACAACAUUAUUAACACGGUCGAUGGAAAACGGCCGAAGAGAGCGCGUACUACAAGCGUGGUGAACGCUCAAAAUACUUACUACACCAACAAAAUUUUUACUUUAUUUUCAGGUCAAUAGCAGAGCGAAAAAACUGGUCGACGAAGGCGUUCAUGAUGAAGUAUGGUUUCAAGGAGGCUCAUGCAGUGAACUUCUUCAAGAGUGAAUGGCACGAUCCUAGUAGCAUCACGACGAAAAGUCCGUGGGAUGUUGAACCACCGAGGAAAAGAGUCUUGCGAACAAAAAAACCGACUACACUUUGAAUGAAUACAUCCACCUUUCUUACGAAACAGAAUAAAUAUCACGAAAAUUGAAUUUGCUUUGUUCGUUACUUUCCAAAAAAUUAAGUAUGGGGGAAAGUAAAUUAAGGUUGAUUUUCCACUAACUCCCCUUUGUAGGUGGAACUAGGUGCGGUAGGGCUCCACGGAAAUCGACUUGGCCUUCAACAGAAAUUCGAGGGAUUCAACUGAGCAAGCGCGUUACAUAUCUUUCACUUUUAAAAUUGUAAUGGAGAAUUUGCACACAAAUUGUUUAUUGCUUCAUCUGGAAGAACUGAUUUUGCGGCAUUCUUUAUUGAUUCUUUCUGAUAUGGGAUAUAGUAUAAAAAUGAAUUUAAAAUUGGAAUAAUGUAACGCCUAAAGGCGUCAUCUAACGGCAUACCAAUUUAGACGCAUGUUUUUUUUGUUGUUGUUUUUUUCAGCAAAUUGGGUUAUUCAGUCGUAUCUCUUCCAAUUAAUUGUUAAAUUUAUGAGCCACGAGCAUCCUCGUGUUCAGUUCACUCGUUGUCACGUGGUUUCCACUAAACCACAAAAUCUAUAAAAUGUCAGGCAUUUACAAAUUCUCCAUUGGACUUGAGAUGUCGCGUGUGGUUUAAAUUGUGAUGAAGCAAACAUUCAGGGGGCCUCACAUGGCAUCAAAAACAAUUCAAGAAUAGAUCUGUGUAAGGAAGUAAACCAAUUCUCCGUCAUGGAAAUUACAAAUUACCAAGAAAACAAUUUAGCAGGUUUGGCUAAUUUCGAGGUAGAUCCGUGCCCAUAAGAUGGAUAGUCUAACUUCCAUUUGAUCUGUGUUAAAAGUACUACUUAAUAUCUCGUUCAGAAGAAUGGAUUUCCUAACUUACCAUUGAGUGAAUUGUUUUAUACGUAAGAUUUAAAAGAAAAACAUGUGACUUUUUUUUGGUUCAGGCGUUAUCUAAUGGCCCAUCUCUCAAGUAUCACAAGUGAUUUUUCAAAGAUAAUAGGAGAAUUUCUUAGGUAUCGAGGGGCUAGAAUAAGACCUACGUAGGUUUUUUACUAUUUUUAUGUUUAGUUUUUUUUCUUCUUUAAUCCUUGAAAUAUUAAAGGAAUUGAGUCCUCUGAAUCGAGUGUGAUUAUAAUACAAAAAGUUUCAAGUACAAUUAAUUAGGAUACUUUAUGUUUUCGAGCGUGUACAAAGUUUUUAUUCCAAUCUUAGGUUUUAAAGGCGUCAUCAAGUCACGAGCUUCAUGCUGUAUGACUUUUGUUUUAAUCGGAAGAUCUAGGCUAGGCCUUACAAUAUAAAACUUACAAAACAGUAGGAGCCAUCACAUUCAGGACGAGGUUAUCAGUAUUUUAGUCAUGUCGUCAUGCCGAUGUUCUCAAAGUAUACCUCCUUUUGGUGCGUGGUUCGUUUUGUUUCGGUUCACGUUCACCACAAUCCAGUAAUUGAGAAAUCUCCAAUCGAGAUUUCAAAAUGGUGUUAAGUAAAAUUGAACUAUCUCGAUAGUGCU
rnacentral:lncRNA from 1 species